GAUGAACGCUGCGGCGUGCUUAANACAUGCAAGUCGAACGAACUGAGGAGUGCUUGCACUCCAAGGUUAGUGGCGGACGGGUGAGUAACGCGUGGGUAACCUGCCUCAUGCAGGGGGAUAACGUUUGGAAAUUGGUACUAAUUCCCCAUUAACACCUUAUGAGGCAUCUUAUUAGGUUGAAAGUUCCGGCGGUUUAAGAUGGACAUGCGUUGUAUUAGCUAGUUGGUGGGGUAACGGCUCACCAAGGCGACGAUACAUAGGGGGACUGAGAGGUUAACCCCCCACAUUGGUACUGAGACACGGACCAAACUCCUACGGGAGGCAGCAGUGAGGAAUAUUGGUCAAUGGACGCAAGUCUGAACCAGCCAUGCCGCGUGCAGGAAGACGGCUCUAUGAGUUGUAAACUGCUUUUGUACGAGGGUAAUAACAGGUACGAGUACCUGCUUGAAAGUAUCGUACGAAUAAGGAUCGGCUAACUCCGUG
rnacentral:rRNA from 1 species